rnacentral:rRNA from 1 species
GACGGAGGAUGCAAGCGUUAUCCGGAAUGAUUGGGCGUAAAGCGUCCGUAGGUGGUUUGACAAGUCUGGGGUUAAAGCCCGGAGCCCAACUCCGGAUCGGCCCUGGAAACUGUCAGACUUGAGUAAGGUAGGGGUUGCGGGAAUUCCCGGUGUAGCGGUGAAAUGCGUAGAUAUCGGGAAGAACACCAGCGGCGAAAGCGCGCAACUGGGCCAUUACUGACACUGAGGGACGAAAGCUAGGGGAGCGAAUGGG